rnacentral:rRNA from 1 species
AGAGUUUGAUCCUAGCUCAGGAUGAACGCUAGCUACAGGCUUAACACAUGCAAGUCGAGGGGCAGCAUGUUGGUUGCUUGCAACCAAUGAUGGCGACCGGCGCACGGGUGAGUAACGCGUAUCCAACCUACCCUUGUCCAUCGGAUAACCCGUCGAAAGGCGGCCUAACACGAUAUGCGGUUCACAGCAGGCAUCUAAGGUGAACGAAAUGUGAAGGAGAAGGAUGGGGAUGCGUCUGAUUAGCUUGUUGGCGGGUAACGGCCACCAAGGCUACGACCAGUAGGGGUUCUGGAGAGGAAGGUCCCCCANAUUGGAACUGAGACACGGUCCAAACGUCCUAACGGGAGCA